AUUGAACGCUGGCGGCAAGCCUAACACAUGCAAGUCGAACGAGUGGCGGACGGGUGAGUAAUGUCUGGAAAACUGCCUGAUGGCGGGGGAUAACUACUGGAAACGGUAGCUAAUACCGCCUACCAUCGGAUGGGCCCAGAUGGGAUUAGCUAGUAGGUUGGGUAAAGGCUCACCUAGGCGACGAUCCCUAGCUGGUCUGAGAGGAUGACAAGACACACUGGAAGUGAGAUACGGUACAGACUCCUACGGGAGGCAGAAGUGGGGAAUAUGGCAGAAUGGGAGGAAGGCUGAUGUAGCCAUGCCGAGUGUAGGAAGAAGGACUGCGGGUUGUAAAGUACUUUCAGUGGGGAGGCGUUACCCGAAGAAGAAGCACCGGCUAACUCCGUGCCAGCAGCCGCGGUAAUUC
rnacentral:rRNA from 1 species